GACGAACGCUGGCGGCGUGCUUAACACAUGCAAGUCGAACGGAAAGGCCCUGCUUUUGUGGGGUGCUCGAGUGGCGAACGGGUGAGUAACACGUGAGUAACCUGCCCUUGACUUUGGGAUAACUUCAGGUAACUGGGGCUAAUACCGGAUAGGAGCUCCUGCUGCAUGGUGGGGGUUGGAAAGUUUCGGCGGUCGGGGAUGGACUCGCGGCUUAUCAGCUUGUUGGUGGGGUAGUGGCUUACCAAGGCUUUGACGGGUAGCCGGCCUGAGAGGGUGACCGGCCACAUUGGGACUGAGAUACGGCCCAGACUCCUACGGGAGGCAGCAGUGGGGAAUAUUGCACAAUGGGCGGAAGCCUGAUGCAGCAACGCCGCGUGCGGGAUGACGGCCUUCGGGUUGUAAACCGCUUUCGCCUGUGACGAAGCGUGAGUGACGGUAAUGGGUAAAGAAGCACCGGCUAACUACGUG
rnacentral:rRNA from 1 species